UAUGCUUAAUGCCGCGUUUAGCGGCAGCGGGAGAACCGGACCGGACAUUUUGCCCGAUUGGACGGCGACCAUACUAUGGCACGUCCUUGGGGGUGUAUUCGCGGUGCGAUAGGGGACUCUCUUUCCCGAACCCGACAGCUAAUCUCGUCAGCGUAAGAGAGCGGAU
rnacentral:sRNA from 1 species